CCUUUUGCCAUGGAAUGCAACAUAAUUGUAACCAUGACAUCUCCUCAUAUGUCAAAGUUCCACUUACACACAAACAGGAGGGAAUUUUCACAAGAGUGAGGAUCUUUGGGAGCCAUUCUUAGAAGUCUGCCUGUCACAAUUAGUAUAGCAAUGAUAAUUCUUUACCACGAAAUACUAUUCAGGAAUAAAAAAUAACAGACUACUGAUAGAUAUAACAAUGGUUAAACUAUAAAACAGUCUGCUUCAUAAAAGGGACAAGACAUAAGAAAGAGUUCAUAUUGGAUGAUGGAAGAGGAAGUUGACUGAUAUGGUGCAUGCUAGAACUCUUGGGAUGAGAGGAAUGCCCUUUAUCUUGAUGGGGCUUCUUGCACUCAACAGGCUGACUCAAAGAAAACACGGAAAGUUUCUAUUAAGUUCCAGUUUGGAAGCAUCCUACAAUAAAAUGAUCUACAUUAUUUUGGGAUUAAGAAACACUUGCAGAUUAUUCUCAGAGAUGCCAUAAGGAAUAUUUUCAAAUCUUGGAGCAUACAAGAAGUACAAGAGGAGUGAAAAUAUUAUAUCUUAAUUUUGCAAAAAAGAGAAUGUUUUUAGUAUAUACAAAUUAACAAAAUAAACCUUCACACAAAUCUAAACUUUAUUACUAG
rnacentral:lncRNA from 13 species